rnacentral:rRNA from 1 species
AACGAACGCUGGCGGCAUGCCUAACACAUGCAAGUCGAACGAGACCUUCGGGUCUAGUGGCGCACGGGUGCAUAACGCGUGGGAACCUGCCCUUAGGUUCGGAAUAACUCCCCGAAAGGGGUGCUAAUACCGGAUAAUGUCUUCGGACCAAAGAUUUAUCGCCUUUGGAUGGGCCCGCGUUGGAUUAGCUAGUUGGUAGGGUAAAAGCCUACCAAGGCGACGAUCCAUAGCUGGUCUGAGAGGAUGAUCAGCCACACUGGGACUGAGACACGGCCCAGACUCCUACGGGAGGCAGCAGUGGGGAAUAUUGGACAAUGGGCGAAAGCCUGAUCCAGCAAUGCCGCGUGAGUGAUGAAGGCCUUAGGGUUGUAAAGCUCUUUUACCCGGGAUGAUAAUGACAGUGCCGGGAGAAUAAGCGCCGGCUAACUCCGUG